AUGCAAGUCGAACGGGAAUCUUCGGAUUCUAGUGGCGGACGGGUGAGUAACGCGUAAGAAUCUAACUUCAGGACGGGGACAACAGUUGGAAACGACUGCUAAUACCCGAUGUGCCGAAAGGUGUAACCUAAUUGGCCUGAAGAAGAGCUUGCGUCUGAUUAGCUAGUUGGUGGGGUAAGAGCCUACCAAGGCGACGAUCAGUAGCUGGUCUGAGAGGAUGAGCAGCCACACUGGGACUGAGACACGGCCCAGACUCCUACGGGAGGCAGCAGUGGGGAAUUUUCCGCAAUGGGCGAAAGCCUGACGGAGCAACGCCGCGUGAGGGAGGAAGGUCUUUGGAUUGUAAACCUCUUUUCUCAAGGAAGAAGUUCUGACGGUACUUGAGGAAUCAGCCUCGGCUAACUCCGUGCCAGCAGCCGCGGUAAUACGGGGGAGGCAAGCGUUAUCCGGAAUUAUUGGGCGUAAAGCGUCCGCAGGUGGUCAGCCAAGUCUGCCGUCAAAUCAGGUUGCUUAACGACCUAAAGGCGGUGGAAACUGGCAGACUAGAGAGCAGUAGGGGUAGCAGGAAUUCCCAGUGUAGCGGUGAAAUGCGUAGAGAUUGGGAAGAACAUCGGUGGCGAAAGCGUGCUACUGGGCUGUAUCUGACACUCAGGGACGAAAGCUAGGGGAGCGAAAGGGAUUAGAUACCCCUGUAGUCCUAGCCGUAAACGAUGGAUACUAGGCGUGGCUUUGUAUCGACCCGAGCCGUGCCGAAGCUAACGCG
rnacentral:rRNA from 1 species